ACAACUAGAGUAAAAUAUGACUUAUUCUCAAUAUAUGGUCACAUCAUGCAUACAUGUACUAUAAUUUUGUGGUGAAUAUAUAUAGCGAUCAGUUAUGCUAAUGCUAUUUCAAUUUAACCAACCUAAUAAAGACAUAGGAAUAUAUAUUUCAGCUUUUGUGCAGUGUGCAAAAAAGCUGUACAGUUACUGCCUUUCCUGUCGGUAAAUGAGCGGAGCAUCCAAGCACAUACAUGCAUUUGUAUGUGCUUAGAAACGACGGGCAUUAUUUAUCCUGCUGCUGCAGUAGCACAAAAGCCAAGUCCCUUUCGCAUCAACGCCUUCAGCCCUUUAUCCAUCACCAUUCACCAGCGAGGCUAAAGCUCCAAAAAGGCCAUCUAUUUUUUCAUUAGCACUAAAAACGUUGAUCUCUUUUUAACGGCCUUUUUGUCCCACCUAGCUAUAGCUUUCCCUUUCCAAACAUGCAGCAUCGAUCAAUUCAUACACGUUUUGGAUUAGAUCAAAAGGAAAAGUAUAUUACUACACGUUUGUGGAACAUCCCCGUACUACGCGCGUAAGUGUACCACCACUCCUCCACUCCAUUUUUUUUUCAUUUUGUUUUGAGAAACACGGUGCAAAGGCAGACUCUCAUAAAUACGCACAUUGACAUACACUCACUAUUAUGAACGCACACACGCAAACCAUACCACAUGCACCUCAUAGUUGACGUACAAACGAUCACCUUGGAGAGACUGAGCCGGCAAAUCUUGUGAUUGACAAAAUUAUCACAUGCACCUCAUAGUUGGCGGAUGCAUUACUCUAACCGAAAGUUAAACCCGAAACAAAUCCAGUUAAAUAUGACACCCAUGUCAAACCUAGACCUGACUUCAACAUGAGUUCAAUUAAGCCACCUGAGAUAUAUAUUCUCAGGCCGCUUAAAAUUAAAAUGAAAUUCCUUUUUCUUUCUGUGACGAGACUGCAUGUUUUGUUUUUUUCUGGCAGGAAGCAGUGACAAUCCUUAAAAUUGCAAUCUCAAAAAAUAAUAAGAAAUAAGUAAAGAUCAACAAUACAUUCAUCACAUUCAUUGGAUUGAAUAUCGCAGAUAGAUAACGGCAGAGAGCUAGAGCGAAUGUCCGAUGCGCUUCUUCUCAGAAUGUACUACCGGCCGGUCGAUCCUGCAUGCAGAUCAGCAUUGGAUCAUUCCUUUUGCUCGCUCCCAUACGUACAUAUCUCAAUUAUUACAUGGGAGUAGUACGAGUAAUAUAUUCCCCAGCACCAGGCAGCGAAGUGAAACAUAUCUCCAUUUUCACCGGAGCGCAUCGAUCCGGCUAGCGAUCGGCCGGAGAGGGAGCCGUGCGCGGCCGGAAACCGAUGGAUCCAAAAGGUAUAUAUCCCCCCGAAUUAACGUGCCUUUCCGACGACAAACUUAUAGCUAGUGCGCCCGGCACCACACAGCUAGCUAGCGCAUUUUGAUUGACCGAUCGUCUCAGAUCAGAGCUAGUCCCCUGCUGCUGCGCUGCACGGACACGUAUCGGGCGGCGAGCUCGCGGACUCCGUCUUGUCGCCCAAAAGACGGGUCGGGCUCGAUAAGUGUUUAACGGCAUCCAGGCCAUCGGCUGGAUAAGUAUAAGACUGUAUGCACGGUCUUUAAAGCUAAACUUUGACCUUGUUCCAUCUAAAAAAACAUUGACCUUGUUAUGAGAGUGUGCAUGCAUGGUAGGACUAAUUAACGCAAAAAUAUCUGCUGAAAAUAAUUGUUUUACGUGAUACCAUUUUAUUAUAUUGUAACCAAAAUUAGAAAAAAAUUUCAUGAAAGUCAAAGUUUUCGAGGUACAGACAAACUUUUGAUAAAGUUUGGUGGAAAUAAAAACAAUGGUUUGAGCACUCAUGAUUUUAUUUCUAGUUUUUUUCUUCUUCUGGUUUUUCCUUUUUAUAAAAAAGCCCCAGGGUUUUCCUCAUAUCUCCCGCCUCAUUCUAUUUUCUCUUGAUUUAUUUUAAUAGUUUUAUGAUCCAAAUACUUAAAUGCAUAUUGAAGGUCAAGGGUCAAAGUGUGCCUGUACGUGGGUGUGCUUGUGAGGGGGUUUAUAUGUUGUAAUAAUAGAAAUCAGCAAGACUAGACUCGGCUAAAUGUUGAGAAACACAAACAAAUGGAUUCUUUUUCUUGAAGUGUAUAUGAGAAAAGAGGUGUGCGCUAGAAAUUAGGGCAGUUAAUUAGCAGUAGGUUUGUCUAAUAGUGGGAGUGCGUUAAAAAUCAAGGUCGUGUUCUACGAGGAGUCAUAUAUUCUACUCCCUCCGUCCAACAAAAAAUGUCUCAAGUUUGUUAAAAUUGGAUGUAUCUAGACAUGACUUAGUUUAUAGAUGCAUUCAAAUUUAAUCAAAAUUGAGAUAUCCUUCGUUAGACGAAGAGAGUAGGUAAAAUAGCCCCAGGCAGCUACUACUCAUUGCUUAGCUAGGGGUACCAUAGAUAUGUGGUGCUUGUCCUUGUCAUGGGUCUCGCUCUGUGUAGACAUAUCGUAUGGCAUAAAGUGCAAACAGUGGAUGCAUUGUGUAUCGUGGUUAGAGGAUCCUCCUGGCAAUUUGCUUUUUGUCUUUUUUUUUGCCAACGAGAAUGCUGCAUGUGUGUAAUGGUACAAUAAUUUCAUGACAAUACUAAUGGGGGUACAACUUCUACUUAACAAAAUUAAAUAGAGCUAACUUUGUUAGUCUAUAUAUGGUCAAAGAUAGAGAUAAGCCAAACAUCAUGUGUAUUGGAAGUUUGGAACAGAACUAGUGCAGUUCAUCAUAUGCAUGAUUUUUUCUCUUAAAGAAAUUAUAAUAAUUUAUGGCCUUGGAUAAUUUUUUAUGCAUGCAAAUUAAUCGAGAACGGACGUCAUAAUUUGCCAGCUGCUUUGUCAAUCAAUAAUUCAAUAUAUACAUACGUGUACUGUACAGCGUGGAAAGAAGAUGCACGUGAUCCAGCACAGGUAGGCGAUGACCUCCACAAGUUGUCUCGUACGAUCGACCGGCCAGCGAGUCAAAUCAAAGGCAAAGAUAGUUGCAACCGGCGGGCGCCGCAGCCUCGUCCCAGGCCAGCAGCCACCGAGGUAAAGCUUUCGAUCUCCCGGGUAGAUUCCGGUAGCUUUUCUUCCAAGGGUAUAAAGAAAGGCGCUGUGAUUGGCUGGAGCUUGAGUGGAUCAAAAGGUUACGCAUUGUUGGACAAGGACGCCCAGCUCGGAGAGAAUCGGAUUUGCAUGGCUAUCUUUUCCUCUCUGGCUAGCUACCCUAGAAUCACGGCGCGUGAUCAGUCCAAGCUAGCUAUAGCUAGGUGGCCCAUAUGAUUUGGCCAAGUUUUUUUCUCUAGCUAUAGCUAGACAUGGAGCAACAGAGAGACGAAAGAAAGAGAUAGCGCCCGGCCCCUUUCACAGUUCGUUUUAGUAUUCACAAAUGUACUCCCUCUGAUAUAUAAAAAGUGUCGUACAUUUUGUACUAAGUUAUUACAAAUUUUGUACUAAGUGAACGACAUUUUUUAUGAAUCAGAGGGUGCAUUAAUUAUCAACGAUACAUAUAGGUUGGCUCCAAGGAUACCAUGCAAAAGUCCAUACAAUUUCAAACAUUUCAAAAGCUGAAUAUUAAUCUAUGAGGACACAUUUUUAUACUAAAUAUCCAUUGAACUUUGGACAUUCAAAGACUAAGUAACUCGGUAGUUGCGAAAUAUCAUUACAAACUAUUUACAUUCUCGAUUUUUUUUGCAAACUUUAUGAAAUCAAAUUCCGCACUUUCGAAACUGACAAGGCAAGGGUGUUUGAGUUGUACGGAUCAAAAUCUCUCACACUGUUGGACAAGGUUACAUGGAUAUAUCACCGCGAGAUCGAAUCAGAUCGGUCGCAUAUUUGCAUGGCCUCCAACGGCUUAGGGGCAAAAACCUUUCCUUGCAGGAUGCUAGCUUACUCUUGAAAUUUGCAUUUCGUUUCCUCCAUUCCAAGAACCUUCCUUGGAAAAAUUGGCUAUUAGCUCACUGGCCACAGCCCUUCAAAGCCACACCACCCACUUCCCACCUUGCUAAGCUCAUUUUACAGCAUAUUGAUUUGUUAAGAUCGAUUACUUCUUGCAAGGUUAGAUCAGGAGCCUCCACUUUCUUCUGGCUUGAUUGCUGGAUUUUACCUCAAACACUGGCUUCAGUUUUCCCUGCUCUUUUCACCCACCAUACUAAGCCGAAUGCUUUAGUUAUGGACGAGGGACUUGAGCAUGGCUUGCGAAAUCGACUGACUCUCGCUGCUGAGGCAGAACUCGAUCUUUGCUUCUUGUGUUGCAGGACGUUGCUCUUGAUGAUGCUCCCGUUGUCAGGACUCUAAAGGAUGGGUCUCCACUUUCCACAAGAGGCGCCUACCUUGCCCUUUCCGCUGCCCCCAAGGACCCUAACGCUGAUUUUAUUUGGCAAGCCUUCGUCCCUAACAAAGUUAAGGUCUUCGCUUGGCUCCUCUUUAGGGAUCGACUCAAUACGACGCAAAAUUUUUGCAUCACAAAUUCAUCACUCAAUCGGCGGCCUGUGCGAGCUGGGAUCAUGGUUCAGAAGGCCGCGAGCACCUGUUUCUCUCAUGCCCUCUUGCGCUUCAACUCUGGGAUACGCUAGGUAUUCCGACUCUUGGAACUGCCUUCAUCGAGCUAUGGCAUCUCCGUCCUCCAUUGGGUCUCAACGUUGAUGUUUGGCCUUCCGUCUUGCUUAUCAUUCUCUGGAGGAUCUAGAAAUCUCGAAAUGCCAAGGUCUUCAAUAAUGAGGUCGUCUCCUCGGCUCAUAGCCUUGUAAUGAUAAUUGAGGACCUAACCUUAUGGACUUUCAGAAUUACAAAAAACAAUACAAAAAUAGCCGCCGAUCCGUGGCGUGACUAUUUAUCACCCCGUUUGUAAUUCUCGCUUUGGAGUAAUAUAUUCAUGGGCUGAAGGAUCUUUUGUUCUCCCUGGGAACUUUGUGCGAGAUAACGCCACUUUGCCUUGCAAGUUGUGAGAUUUCUCUUUCCAACGGAACUUCAGAAGUGAUGUGCGGACAUACGUUCUCUUGUUUGCUAAACUUGAACAUCAAUCACGUGGGGGCGCUGGUUGUCCGCGUCGACCAGGGAGCUUCUUGAUGCCUUGCAUUUUUCAUCCAUCAGCUAGGGCAUGUUUUGUUCUUUUGCAUACUUUUCUAAAAUAUUUCUUUUCUCUUAGUAAAGAUACAAGAAUCUCUCUAUAAUAAAGAAAUAUAUUUUAAGUCUUGUUUUUCGUGGUUUGAAAGUCACCUUUUUUUUACUAAAAUUUCGAAUAGAGGGGGUACGUGGGUGGGGUAUAGGUGUUAACCUUGAAUUUUCCAAAUUUCAAACUGAGAUUUAAGAUUUAUUUUUUAAUUCACAUGAAUGUUGUCCAAAAUAGAUCUUUUUGAUAACAGAGUUUGAAGAUUUUUGUUGAAUUGAAUGUUAUUAAAAAAUGAUUAUUAUUUUGAUAGGUAUGUCUUUUUCUCUAUGGGGGAGGAGAGUAGGCGCCAUAGCGAUAACUUCUGUGAAUGGCCAUUAAUUAAUUGGAAAUUAUUGACCUGUAAUCCUGAGUGCAACACAAAUCAACCACCAGCAAAUGGGUUUUUGGUCACCGGAUGGUAUUUUUGGUUACCGUUUGGUAACCGCAUCAGCAUUUCCUAUCCACCUCCACCCGUACGUGCGCGUGCAAUGGUUUGUCAGUCGGAAAAAUAAUCAUGUUCUUUCGAAAAUUUUGAAGUUUGAGUGAUGAUUGGACAUGUGAUCCCCAAUUAGAAGAGACAGCUUUGUCUACUAGUACAUGAUAUUUGCAUUUGGGAAAUCACAUAUAUAGGUGCAAUAUAUAAUUAAGGUUAGGAGUACAGUGAGGAAUCAUUAGCUAGGGCUGUAGUUUUAUCUAGUGACUAGUGGUGUACGUUAAAAAUUGUCAUGGAUGUAUUAAUUAAGUUUAAUUAGGAGUACGGUGAGGAAUCAUUAUCGAGAAAUAGAGCUAGCUAACUGUGCUACUUGUUGCUUAGAUAAUAUAUAUGUGGUGCUUGUCGUUGUCAAGGGUCUCGCUCUGCGUUACACAUAUCGUAUGGCAUAAAGUGCAAACAAUGGAUGCAUGCAUGUGUAUCGUGGCUAGCCAAGUGAGACGAUCCAUCUCUUCUUUUUUUGACAACGAGAAUGUUGUAUGUAGUGGUACAAUAAUUUCAUGACAAUUGAUCCAAUGGUACAACUUCUACUUAACAAAAUUAAACAAGCCUUGUUAGUUCAUGGUCAAAGAUAGAGAAACGAACAUUGGAAUGAGAGAAAUGGAAGGAUCUUUAAGCAUCGCCGGCGAACGGCAGUGGUGACGGUGGAGCUUGUUCAGGAGGAAACUCGUCUAUGGAGUCAUGUGGACUCUUUGGGGAUUGGUGCCCUCCUAUCGGGAGAUGAUGAUGUUCCUUGAACUCUUGAUAAUGAAAGGCACGCUGUGCUAUUUUCAUCAAGAAAAAAACAUCAUGCAUGAUGUUUCUCUUAAAGAAUAAAUGUGGAUCGAGAAUUCAUCAACGGACGUCAUUUGCCUGCGUGCAUGGUAAAGAUGAUACACGUGAUCCAGCAGCGAUGACCUCCACAAAUUGCCUCGUACGUAAGACUGGCCGGCCAGCGAGUCAAAUCAAAGGCAGAGAGGAGAAGUAGUUGCAGAGCUUCGUCCCAGGCCAGCAGCCACCGGGGCAGAGCUUUCGAUCCCCAGAGUAGAUUCCAGUAGCUUUUCUCCAAGGGGGGGAUAAAGAAAGGUGCUUUGAUUGGCUGGAGCUUGAGCGGAUCAAAACGUUACGCAUUAUUGGACAAGGACGCCCAGCUCGGAGAGAAUCGGAUUUGCAUUUGCAUGGCCAUCUUUUCCUCUCUGUCUAGCUACCUAGAAUCACGGCGCAUGAUCGAUCGAGCUAGCUAUAGCUAGGUGGCCCAUGUGAUAUUGUGCCAAGGAAGGUUAAUUUUCUCUAGCCAGACAAUCAAUGGAGCUCCUUUCACCACAUCCAUAUAUCUUUAGACAUUCUCUAGACUUCUCUCGGUGUUCUUUCUAUCUAACCUUUUAGUUGAAAAUAAAUCGUUUCGUAGUCCAUAACCUGGCACCUUUGCCUGCCUUUUCUCUUGAACCGGGCUACAUAUGUUGUUGCUAGGGGACAAAGCAGCGCCGAUAUUGACGAAUGUUGCUCGUUCGGUACUCUAAUCAAUCGUUUUCUUCUUCUCAGAGUCGAAGUCAAACAUGCAUGGAUAAUAUCAAAUACGAAUACGAGUGCAAAUAGCUAGUACUAGUCAUGAAUAUGGAUUGGGAAUACUAAUUGUGAUCAUUUAUAAAUAUUUAGCUGAAAAUUGCAUACAUAUAUAUUGUAACAAAAAAAGCGUACAAGAUUUCAAACGUCUAGCUACAUUUGCGGUUCGACGUCCAUAGAUAUAUAUGGCUUCUAGGUGAUAAAUAUAUGGGAUGGAUUCAAAAGUCAUUUACUAACAUAUACAACAUCAAUUUAGUAGCUAGCCAUAUAUAUUCGAUGACAAUACAGAGUUCACCUAUUGAAAACAAAACUUCAUGAUGAAUAUGUAGAAAUACAACUUGAGAGCAAAAGCAUGACCAUAUGAGCAUGUAAGAUGUGAGUUCAAAGGAGUGGCGCAACAAAAUUUUGAAUCAGGUUGGUCCGUUUGAUUUUAAAAAAAUUGCUACAAAAAUCUAAAAUGCUAAUAUAUAUACUGCGACUGCGAACAUGCGCCCUUUCCUAUCACCACCUGCAUAGUUAGUGCCCGCCGCACGAUGUCAGCCGCCUACAUGCCACGUGACUGAGCUCUUAGCUCGCUAGGUUUUGGGAAUUGGGAAUGGCAACACUCGUAGAGUAAUCGAGCGUUUGAGUCAGAAACGGUACAAUCUGUCACUGCAAUGAGUCAAAAGACUCAAAACAUACGGAUCUAAACACACAACUGGGGCUUGGGUGUGAGCUGUAUUUUUUUUUUUGGGUUGAAACUAUACGAGGUUAUAAUAUGGGCUGAUGGCAGAAUUUCAUGGCUGUGCAUGAACCACCCUGAUUACUCUAUAACUAUACCCUACCUUGGAAGGGACAUGGAUGAAGAUUGGACGAAAACAUAUAAAUUGUUUGAAGCAUAGCUUAACUUUAGAUAUUCUAAAUUGAAUUAUUGAAAUAGAUUUUUUUUGUUAAAAACCUAUAUAGCCAGGUAUAAACGCACAUCACUCAUAUCAUAUCCCACCUCCUAUCUUAUUUUUUAGAAUCAAAAUCGAAGACGGAAGGUACCAGACAUCGGUUUCUCUAAACCAUAUAUAUCCACUUUAUAAACUUUUGGCAGAACAGACGAUCGGCGAGUAUUCUUCUUGUUUUGUUGAUCCCUAGUUGUCGCUUUCUUAGAAAUAUCUUGCCUAUACAAAUAUCCGAGUAACAUAACUAUAUGAGAAAAGUAUCUUUUUCAUCUCUCAAUUGAUAACAAAGUCUAGAAAUGGUCCUUCAAUUUAUAAUCGUAUACAUUUGGUCCCUUAAUUGGCAAAACCAGAUACUUUUGGUCCCUCUCCUGAAUUCUAAACAAUUUUGACUCUAUGUUGAGCGGUUUCCCCCGAAUUUUCCAUGUCGGAUGCCUCGAUGGCUUUAGGUUCCUCCAAAAAAUAAUGGUCCCUGAACUCGAAAUUAUAUACAUUUGGUCCAUCAGCUAUUCAUCGUGGCAUCUGACCUGGAAAAUUCUUAGGAAAAACUGUGACAACUGGAGUCAAAACCGUAAAAAACGGGCCGGAAGAGUGACUAAAAGUAUAUGGUUUUGCCAAUUGAUGGACUAAAUGUAUAUGAUUUUGGGUUGAGGGACCAAUUCUUGAUUUUGUUGCCAAUCGAGGGACGAAAAAUAUACCUUUCUCUAAAUAUAUAUAUACUCUUUGGAAAAUAACUUAUUUGUAUGUUUUGUGCAAAGAAGUUAGAUUCGCUACAUAUAUGGGUGUUCAAAUUCGGUUUCACUUGAAACCAUGGAAACGGCUGAGGGUUAAUCCAGUUCACUUUCCUUACUAAAGUCCAAUCACCCUCGCAAAAAAUUGUGCUAGAAAAAAAAGGGUUCAGUUGAAACCAUUUUGAACACCCCUAGAUUUGAAAUGUAUGAGUAGUCAGCAAGGAGUUUUUUUUUUCCAAUUUCAAGAAAGUCACGUAUGACUUAAAUUUAUAUCACGUGCUCAAUUUGUAAGUUCGUCUCUCAUACAUCUAUACAUUUUGAUCUUAUCAAUUUCAAUUCAGAAACACAUUGUUAACGAUACAUAUAGGUUGGCUCAAAUGAUACUAUGCAAAAUUGCAUAGCAUUUCAAAAAGUAACUUGGAUUUUUUUUAAUAUAAAUUACAAAUUAACGCAAAUUAAAUUCCAUGCACUUUCGAAGCUGACAAGGAAAGGGCAUUUGAGUUUGCGCGGAUCAAAAUCCCUCACACCGUUGGACAGGGUUACAUGGAAAGAUGUCACCGCGAGAUGGAAUUAGAUUGUAUUUGCAUGGCCUCCAACAGCAGGAUCUUUUUCCAUGGUGCCCAACGGCCAGCAGGAUCGAUCGUAUCUUUUUCUCUGCAUUUGCAUGGCCUCCGACGGGCCGGAUGAUCUUUUACUCUCUUCCUGGGAAAACUUUGCGCGAGAUAACGCCACUCUGCCCCCCCCCCCCCCCCCCCCCCCUGCAAGUUGCUGCUAUAGCUCUUUCCAGCGGAACCUGAGAGGUGAAGAACCUGUCUGCUGAACUUGGACAUCAAUCACGUAGGGGCCGGCUGUCCGCAUCGACCUGGCCGGGCUAGCUAGCUCCUGGAUGCGUUGCUUUUCGUAUCCAUCGGCUGAUAUCUAUCGCAUGGUUUCUGCAGUUGCAAAGGUCACCAUCUGCGAUUUUCUCUCCAACAGCCGUUGAAAUUUCCAGCGGCACUAACAUACUAACGCUAACUGAGUUUUGACAGUCCUAUUUGCACUUGUUUGUACUGCACUUUUUCUAAUACAGUGGUUUCUAAUUAGCACACUUUUUCUAACAACAGCUUUCUCAACCGCACAUUUUACAAUGGUUUUUACUACACGUUCUCUAAUCUCUACUGCAUAUUUGCACCAGUUUAUACGGUAGUUUUUCACUUUUGUUCUUACUGCACCUUUUCACUGGUUUCUGCUACAGUAUAUUUCAGCACUAGUUUCUAUCAUUACACUUUCUGUACUGUUCUUGCUGAACUUUCUCGCUGUCACUGGUUUUUAAUGCACUUCUGCACUAAUUUCUACCGCACCUUUCCUAGUACACUUUUGUGCUAGUUUCUACUGCACAUCUACACUAUUUUCUAAUGCACUAAUUCUCCACAUGUUUCUGCUGCACGUUCUCGCUGGUUAGUAUUGCACAUUUACAGAGUAUAAGAAAAUCACAGUGCUCCCUCCGAUCCAUAUUACUUGUCGAAAUAUUACAUGUAUCCAGACGCUUUUUAAAGAUAAAUACAUCCAUAUUUGGGUAAAUUUGAGACAAGUAAUAUGGGUCGGAGGGAGUAGAAACUUUUCAUCACUGCUACAGUAGAAAGUAGCCACAUGCAGCAGAGAGUAAGGGCAUCUCCAAUAAUAGAUUGUAUGCUAAUUUGUACGUAAAUUGUCCGUAUCGAUCUUCUCAACCAACAGCAACUCAUCAUACAACUACUCCAAAUCCAAUAGGUUGUGUCUAAGUUGUCCAAUAGGAAGAGAGGGAGAGAGUAAAUCCAGAGAAACAAAGUCUGUUAUCUCAAAACAAAAAAGUUCUCUCCUUACUCGGUGUAUCCCUUUUUUAGGGAACUCCUUAUUGGGUAGUCAAGUCUCAAGUGCCUACUGGGCCUACAAGAAACCAGGCCGCAUCGGGCUAUAUAGGCCGGUCUAGAGCCGUCCCUCCCAGCCCAGCACAGACUUCUGUGUCUUUUAUUUUUAUUUUUGAACUCCAGACUUGUGUAUUUUGAGCAGUAGUAUCUGGUGGCCUCAUGAAAAAUCGUUCCACGCCGGACAGACAUGCAAAACGUGGCCGUUUCCCCCGGCAUCCUGGAGGGCGAAACGGCCGGCUCGUGAUUUUGCCGAAUCGGAAGAAGAAAUGGCAGAGCGUGGGUUUCCAUAAUUCCAUUCCAUGGAGGAAUUAAUUCCUUGCCCCACCCCACUGCCAGCCGAGGGGAGUACUCCGUCGAGUGUAGUCCAGUCGCCUGAUUGCCUGACCAGUCAAUUAAGCUGAGUCCCUUCUAUCCGCUGCGUCUCCGGCGCCGGUCCUGCGUGAAAGCUACGGCCAUGUUUCGUUCCUAGCUACAUGCCACAGCUAGCUUCCGUGCAUCUUCAGACUUGAGAGAAGUAUGUAGCGAGCUUGAAUUAAACGACGGCUCGACUUUUACCCACACGACUACGUGCCGAGACUCGAGAGCUAGAGCUGAUAUUUGGGAUACAUGAUUAGACGUGCGCUGGCCGGUCUCGAUCAUGUAUCAGCGUCCAUAUGUUACACGAGGCCAAAAAGAGAAGAAUCACAGAGAAACAUUGGAGACAGAAAUUAAGUGGAACGGUAUAGAACCUGCAGCCUGCAGGCAGUGCGUGCGCGCGACCAGUCUUGCGUACACAUACUGACAUACUCCAUUCAACGGAGAUUACUGGUUCCCGGCCGGAUCUUGGCACUUGAUCUGCACUACGACUGCAUGCACGCAGGCGACCUUUCCCUUCUUCCUGGAGUCCCUCUACUAUAUACUGGUCGGUCAUCGGACUCCGGAUCGAGCCAGCUGCGCCGUACGUCUAUAUAGCUUCCUCGUCUUCAAUCUGCAGGCAGCUAGCUAGAGUCCUAGAGAUAUUCUUUCUGCAGCUUGAUUUAUUGGUUGGAGGCUCAUGGAAAGCCGAGGCAGAGGCAGCGGCGGCGGCGCAGCCGGACGACGGACGCCGCCGCCACCGUCGGAGGUGAAGGUGACGCACAUCAUUACGACGGAGGUGAGCGCGGACGAGGCGAGCUUCAAGGACGUCGUGCAGAGGCUCACGGGGAAGGACUCCGCGCCCGCGCGAGCCGCCGUACUACUGGCUAAUUCCGCCGCUCCGGCAGCAGGUCCAAGCAGGGUUAACAAUGGCAGCUCCUCCGUCGCCGGAGAUGGCGGCAGCGCCGGCGGGGUCGAAGGGCCGAGCGCGGGCGCAGCUCCUCCGUCGGCGUUCGAGGGCACGCUCCCGUCGUUGGAGGAGAUGAAUCGCUGGUGGGGCACGCAUGGUUGAUUCGUAUACUGUAUAUAGAGUACUUGGGCACUUCGCAUGCACGCUUUGACGCACCGGCCGAUUGUUUGCAAGACAAAUUUUGGGUUAAUUAAUUUGCCAGCUAGGCCGUGUAACUGCUUACGGGUACUCCUAGCUAGAUCACUAUGUAAUGGAUCCAUUGAAGGAGUAUAUCUUGAGUCACAGGAAGGAAUUUUAAGGAAGAGGGGAUCGAUCGAGUUGCAGGAAGGGAAUGGGUGUGCCACAAUUAUCCGAAUUGUUCUUUCUUUUGGAAUGCAAAAAUUUGAACGUGUAUACAAUUCUGUUUUUUUCCUGGUUCUGUCUCUUCGUUAUAGUGAAAAUUGCCGUGACGUUUUUCGAAUCUGCCAGAAUUACAGUGGAUAUGUUUAAUUAACCCUUUCAUUAUAAAUCCAGUAUAACCUUUUUGUUUUGAAAUCAUAAAUCCAGUAACUAGGCACGGAUAUACUCCCCCGUCUCAAAUUAACUGACGUGGAUUUAUAUAGAUUCUUAUACAAAUCCACAUCAGUUAAUUUGAGAGUCGGGACGGAGGGAGUAGUUAAAGUUUCACAUCACAUUGGUACGGUAUAAAAGGGGCAAAGUUUUGCUAAUGCUGGCAUUUCUUGUUUAAAUUUACCGGACUACGUGUCUAUUUUACAUUUAGUUUUUUCUCUCAAACGUAAGCAAAUUUUAGUCAAUUUUGCGAUUACCAUGGACGAUGCCAUUGUCACUAGCCCUAACAAGAUACUAGCACGACCUAUGUACUAACUAGAUACUAGCACGACCUAUCUACUGACCUUGUGAUCGACCCACCAACACCGAGUAGUGACGGUCUGACGAAAGUGUUAUAUCGAACUUUUGCGCAGAACAUUCAAGUGGUUAUUGGCCAAAGCAAAAAAAAAACCCGAGGGCUAUCGUUACACGGUUACACACUUUGGGGUCGUUACUUUCAUACACUACCACAAACCGAUAUAUCCCCGUCGGGCGACUUCUAUUCCUGUCGGGCCCGCAGCCGGCCAACAUGAAUAUAAGUAUUCCCUGUCAGGAAUUACAUGGCACACAGGAGAACAAAAUUUUUUCCUGGCGGUCGGCUCGAAACACACAGGAAAAUACAUAUCCUGUCAGUCUAGAAUUCCACACACGGGGAUGAACAUAUAUUCCUGUCGGGCAACGGUUCACCGACAGGAAUAUAAGCUCCUCCUGUCGGUUUUUUUGUCGGGCUGUCAAGGAAAUCUUCUAUUCUUGUCGGGCUUUUUUUCUGGCUGACGGGAAUAUGUAUUUUCCCGUGGGUUGUCUAUUGACAGGAAUAGGAAUUAAAAAAGGUUUUGAAACUUUUGACUUACCAAAUGAGCUCCAAAUUGGACGCGACCGAGCAAGGACUCAUGUUACACCCUAACAAGUUUGAAAUCAAAAUAUGAACACUAAAUGUGCGAUAUGACCAAUUUGAAAGAUCGUUUGGUGUAGUUGAAAUAACAGAAUUGGAACUUGUUUGGUCAAGUAAAGGAAACUCAAUCAAACUCAUAACUGCCUCAAUGGAAUCUUUUUCUUCUUUUUUUCUUCUAAAUAUUCAGUUAAGACCAUUCUAAGGCUCCUUUUCGCCAUGCAUAAACUAAACCAACAACUAAGAUAAGCACGAAAAUGAAAGCUUCGAUAAAAACGGAUACACCCAAUACGUCGAAACUCAUUGCCCAAGGGUAGAGAAAGACGGUUUCCACAUCAAAAACAACAAAAACUAGCGCAAACAUGUAAUAGCGUAUUCGGAAUUGUAGCCAAGCCCCUCCCAUGGGUUCUAUACCCGAUUCAUAACUAGAAAGCUUCUCGGGUCCUUCACUAAUCGGGGCUAAAAGCCCUGAAAUCCAAAAUGCCAAAAUCAGAAUAAGGCUUGCUAUU
rnacentral:lncRNA from 1 species